AAUUGACAUUUCCUCUCUCUUCCUUAAAUUGUGGGGGGCCGUUUAGUUGUACAAGUAAAAUCCAACACCCGGUGUACAAAUCGUUAACAAUCCCCGCCAUUUUCUCUCUCCUCCUCCGCCGUAUUUCCGUCACUAUACCCCGCCUUCUUCCGCCGCUCCUUCCGUCGUUUUCCGAAACUAGCACCGUUCUUCUCAUUCCAAAUUUCCAGAAAAGUCAUCAGACUUAAGUUAUGGGUGCUGUUGAUUCUCCAAAAACCAACAAAGAAAAUCCAUUGCCAGCAGAGGCAAAGAAGAUUCUUCAAUCUAUGGCUUCAAAAUGGAGUAAUGUUGCUGACCCAGAUGCUUUACAAGUGAUUCGACUAAAGGGUGCCAUGACCAAUGAAGUCUAUCAAAUCAAGUGGCCAACCAAAGCUGGGGAAAUGUCUCGGAAGGUCCUAGUAAGAAUAUAUGGUGAGGGUGUGGAUGUUUUUUUUAAUAGGGAGGACGAGAUUCGGACUUUUGAGUGUAUGUCAAAGCAUGGACAGGGACCUCGUUUAUUAGGUCGUUUUUCAAAUGGGAGGAUUGAGGAGUUUAUUCGUGCAAGGACACUGUCAGCAGCUGAUCUGCGUGAUCCAGAUGUAUCGGCUCUUAUAGCUGCCAAAUUGAGGGAGUUCCAUGAUCUUGACAUGCCUGGACCCAAAAUUAUUAAACUCUGGGAUAGAUUACGAGAUUGGUUGAAUACAGCCAAACGAUUAUGCUCCCAAGAAGAAGCUGAGGCAUUUUGCUUGAAUGCUCUGGGAGAAGAAAUUUCUGAAUUGGAAAGGAAGCUUUCAAGCAAUCAAUGUAUAGGCUUUUGCCACAAUGAUCUGCAGUAUGGUAACAUAAUGAUAGAUGAACAAACUAAGUCUAUAACUAUAAUAGACUAUGAAUAUUCUAGCUAUAAUCCUGUUGCAUUUGAUAUAGCCAAUCACUUCUGUGAGAUGGUUGCUGACUACCAUACAGAAACACCUCAUCUUCUGGAUUAUAAUCAAUACCCUGGUCUGGAGGAGCGUCAAAGGUUUAUACGCAUAUAUCUGAGUUCCUCAGGAUGUCAGUCUAGUGACUGUGAAGUGGAACAGCUACUUGAAGUUGUAGAGAAAUAUACCCUUGCAAGCCAUUUGUGGUGGGGAUUAUGGGGCAUAAUUUCGAAACAUGUAAAUGAAAUUGACUUUGACUACUUGGAGUAUGGAAGGCAAAGGUUCCAUCGGUUUUGGCAGAAGAAACCGGAGCUGUUGGGUUCUUCUUGACCUGCUGCCACUGCCUGGUAUGUGAAAUGUGUGUUGGUAUCCAAUUAGGUUUCUGUUUGCGAUAAAUUAUGAUGAUUUCCCUGUGAAGUGGCUCUGCAUGAAGAAUAUAGGCAGAUAGGAGUGGUAUAAAGAUGGAAAGUCCAGCAAUGUGCAUUUUGGCUGAUGGAGCUUCUGAUGACUUUGGUGCAGCAGGCUUAUAAUUUAGCAGGUAGCAUAUACAUGAAGCUGGGUGUUUAUAAAUUACUCCACAAAACGGGCUGCCAAGGGGCACACAUUCUUGGAGGAGCAUAAAUCAAAAUAUGAUGUAUAUUCUAUGUCUAAAUCCCUAAGAAAUCUCUAGCUCUUUGCUUUUUUAUGGUUUUCUUCUUCAUCUUUGAAUAGUGCAUAUCAGUUUCUAAAGGGAUUAAGUACUUUCUUACUCCUUGUAAUUUUUGUAAAUUUGUUGCUGUUUGAUGGUAUAAGGUUUGCCAUUUUGAAGCAUUGAA